rnacentral:rRNA from 1 species
GAUGAACGCUGGCGGCGUGCCUAAUACAUGCAAGUCGAGCGAACAGACGAGGAGCUUGCUCCUCUGACGUUAGCGGCGGACGGGUGAGUAACACGUGGAUAACCUACCUAUAAGACUGGGAUAACUUCGGGAAACCGGAGCUAAUACCGGAUAAUAUAUUGAACCGCAUGGUUCAAUAGUGAAAGACGGUUUUGCUGUCACUUAUAGAUGGAUCCGCGCCGCAUUAGCUAGUUGGUAAGGUAACGGCUUACCAAGGCAACGAUUCGUAGCCGACCUGAGAGGGUGAUCGGCCACACUGGAACUGAGACACGGUCCAGACUCCUACGGGAGGCAGCAGUAGGGAAUCGUCCGCAAUGGGCGAAAGCCUGACGGAGCAACGCCACGUGAGUGAUGAAGGUCUUCGGAUCGUAAAACUCUGUUAUUAGGGAAGAACAAAUGUGUAAGUAACUAUGCACGUCUUGACGGUACCUAAUCAGAAAGCCACGGCUAACUACGUG